UGAGGAACAUGACCUUCGGCGGGGGAGUAGCCGGCCCAACGGCCGGGUAAUACCGCGUACGACCUUUCGGGGACAUCCCUGGAUGGUGAAAGCAGCAAUGCUCCGAUGGAGUGCCUCGCGGCCUAUCAGCUAGUUGGUGGGGUAACGGCCUACCAAGGCAACGACGGGUAGCUGGUCUGAGAGGAUGGCCAGCCACAUUGGGACUGAGACACGGCCCAGACUCCUACGGGAGCAGCAGG
rnacentral:rRNA from 1 species